AGAGUUUGAUUAUGGCUCAGAACGAACGCUGGCGGCAGGCCUAACACAUGCAAGUCGAACGCUGUAGCAAUACAGAGUGGCAGACGGGUGAGUAACACGUGGGAAUAUACCCUUUGGUUCGGAACAACUCAGGGAAACUUGAGCUAAUACCGGAUAAGCGCGAGAGCGGAAAGAUUUAUCGCCGAAGGAUUAGCCCGCGUCUGAUUAGCUAGUUGGUGAGGUAAUGGCUCACCAAGGCGACGAUCAGUAGCUGGUCUGAGAGGAUGAUCAGCCACAUUGGGACUGAGACACGGCCCAAACUCCUACGGGAGGCAGCAGUGGGGAAUAUUGGACAAUGGGCGCAAGCCUGAUCCAGCCAUGCCGCGUGAGUGAUGACGGCCUUAGGGUUGUAAAGCUCUUUUACCUGGGAAGAUAAUGACGGUACCAGGAGAAUAAGCCCCGGCUAACUUCGUGCCAGCAGCCGCGGUAAUACGAAGGGGGCUAGCGUUGUUCGGAAUCACUGGGCGUAAAGCGCACGUAGGCGGAUCUUUAAGUCAGGGGUGAAAUCCCAGAGCUCAACUCUGGAACUGCCUUUGAUACUGGGGAUCUUGAGUCCGGAAGAGGUAAGUGGAACUGCGAGUGUAGAGGUGAAAUUCGUAGAUAUUCGCAAGAACACCAGUGGCGAAGGCGGCUUACUGGUCCGGAACUGACGCUGAGGUGCGAAAGCGUGGGGAGCAAACAGGAUUAGAUACCCUGGUAGUCCACGCCGUAAACGAUGGAUGCUAGCCGUUAGGCAGCUUGCUGCUUAGUGGCGCAGCUAACGCUUUAAGCAUCCCGCCUGGGGAGUACGGUCGCAAGAUUAAAACUCAAAGGAAUUGACGGAUCCCGC
rnacentral:rRNA from 1 species